CCUACGGGAGGCAGCAGUGAGGAAUAUUGGUCAAUGGGCGUAAGCCUGAACCAGCCAAGUCGCGUGAAGGAAGACGGCCCUAUGGGUUGUAAACUUCUUUUAUCCGGGAAUAACGCCACCUACGUGUAGGCCUUUGCAUGUACCCUAUGAAUAAGGACCGGCUAAUUCCGUGCCAGCAGCCGCGGUAAUACGGAAGGUUCGGGCGUUAUCCGGAUUUAUUGGGUUUAAAGGGUGCGUAGGUCGCAUUUCCAGCGUGCCGGUAAAUUUGCGGGCUCAACCCGGGCCUUGCCGUGGAAACUGGCGUGCUUGAGUCGGCGGAAAGCAGGCGGAAUGCGUGGUGUAGCGGUGAAAUGCUUAGAUAUGACGCAGAACCCCGAUUGCGAAGGCAGCUUACUGCAGCGUAACUGACGCUGAUGCACGAAAGCGCGGGUAUCGAACAGGAUUAGAUACCCGAGUAGUC
rnacentral:rRNA from 1 species